UACAGAGGUCCCGAGCGUUGUUCGGAUUCAUUGGGCGUAAAGGGUGCGUAGGUGGCGCCGUAAGUGGGGUGUGAAAUCCCGGGGCUUAACCCCGGGACUGCAUUCCAUACUGCCGUGCUUGAGGACUGGAGAGGAGACUGGAAUUUACGGUGUAGCGGUGAAAUGCGUAGAUAUCGUAAGGAAGACCAGUGGCGAAGGCGGGUCUCUGGACAGUUCCUGACGCUGAGGCACGAAGGUCAGGGGAGCAAACGGG
rnacentral:rRNA from 1 species